rnacentral:lncRNA from 1 species
UCAAUUUCACCCUUGCUCUACCUUGCAGUAAAACAGCUUAGGAGUUUUGCUUUUAGCUUUAAUUGUACUUUAUGUCUUAAUGCAUGCCCUGAGUUUUCGGCAUAAGCCUUUUAUUGACAAAUAACAAACUUCAUUUUUUCUUUAAAAACAUCUAUUGUUGCUAAAACCUCACGAUAAAUCAUAUGAAAAGUUGGCUCUCCAUCCUGGCAAACUGAACGAGGUCAAGCGUAUUUCUAGCAAGCUAAUGUGAAGUGGAGAUAUGUUCAAAACGUUCAAAAUGUGAACUGCGAUGGAUUUUCAUUGAAGGAGAGACAUUAAUUGAAAAAGGACAAGACACACGGACAACGGGCUAUCACUGAAACAUAAUAAAGGAAGACCCAGUAACCGAAGCAUUUUCGAUGUCGGCAUAGAAUAAACCUAUAGAGCCUUGGAAUAAACGCAAGUCCAACAUUAUCCUACUACUUGAACCUGAACCUGAAGUGAAAGAAACGUAAUUGGUCUUGUGAGUACAAAACAAAUACGACGCUGAAUACUUUGUGGGUGCUGAACACAUAGAUAUAACUUGAAGCAAAAUAGCGCUCACCGCCCUGACCAUUGAUGGUUCGAGGGGCACGUUGGAGUAUUUGUCCCCCUCUGCAGCGCCCAAAGGUACGAACUUACGCAUUUUUCCUCGCAUUGAGAGGGAAAUCAACAACUUUUAUAAGAAGUUUGAUUUAAACAGCACAAAUAGGCAUAAUAUAUCACACUACGAGAAAUUUUUGGAGAAGCAAAAAUGAAGCACAUUAUUGGGGAGCAUGCCUCCCCCAGCAUAUCAAAUAACUUCUGGAUCUUCUAAUGAAUUGACUUUUCCGGUUGGUCGGACGGAGUCAUGCAUUACAUCAGUGAUGCCAUCCACUGGGGCUAUUGUGUGCGACGUUCUCGUAUGCCCACCUACAAGCAGCGUUGUAGGUAAGUGACGGUCAGCUACGAGCGGGAUCUGCCGGCUAUCGAAGUCAUGUGCUCAAAUAACUAACCGUGCACACUGCACAGUGUGAAGGAGAAGGCCGACGAGCAAAUAGCAACUUUGACCGCGGCGCGGGAGCGCCCGUACGAGCUCAUAUUGGGCCGUACUGGCGGCACGUGGGAGAUCUGUUUUCUCGCCCAUGUGUCGUAGAUACGUAAGUGUCUGUGCGGUUGUGGCUUGUGCGUUUGUAAUCUUUGAUAUAACCAUGUGAAUAUGUAGCUACAACAAAAUACAUGCAACUGAAAUGUGAUGGGCAUUUUUUAAAGCCACGUACAGAUUUGGUACGGACUAGGCUAGCCGAGGCAGGGAAAUCCAACCCAGGGAAAGUCUAGUCCAAUCCAGUGCCCGGGUCUGGGGGCGUUUCCAUUUCCUUUGCAUUGCUCUGUAAAUGAAGCAGCUACCGAAAAUGAAAUUUUAGUGACCAGACGAAAGGUCGCAACAAAAUAAAUCUCCACAUUAAAAAUUGAGCUCGAGCCAAUUUAGGUCAAAAUUCAAAGCCAACUUGAUUGCAGGGAUCCUUAACUUAAUGGCAAGAAGCGCACGGAAUGCUGAAAUAUUUUAAAAGUGGGUGUGCCGUGGGGGCCUGCUUUAAAAACUCUGACCCCCUUCCAUCGAAAACAAUAUCUAGUUGCGUCAGCUAUCUCUAAAUCGCAUGAUUCAUCAAACAUUCGCCGGUUCCUUCAUGGCAUAAACCGAUGUUAUUUGAUAGCUCGUUCAAUUAUCGAUACGUGGAUGCUGGUCCCGUGCCGAUCAUUGGUCUAGCUACCAAGAUAUAUAGCCAGAACUGCAACGGUGUCUACCGCAUUUCGACGGUCAAAAUAAAAUUAAAAAGAUAUCUUCCACACGGAGGUCCCAUGACUCGUUUUCAAGCGUUACUGAGCUUCGAAAUUUUACUCUUUUACUAAUUACUUUUCACUAUUGUUUAUGAGACAGAGGGCAACAGUGAUUAGUAAACUUGAAAUCACUAUUCUACUAUACACCAGUAAUAGUAAAAAAUGUUUAUGAGAAAGGCUAAGAUGUCAUCAGGUUCAAGAAGUGCGCACAAAUCGCCUUAUUUCAUAGCUAUUCCGGUCUUCUUCACUAAUUAGUGCACAGGAGGCUAACAGUGCACCGAGGCAUGGAGUGCCCAAUGCGCAUCAUAUACUGACGCCCAUCAAGUUAGCAGGAAGACUAUUACAAGUUGACAGCGGCUGUAAUGGCUUCGCCAUGUGCACCAAGCUUCAAAGGCAAUGUCAAUAUUAUUUACACCGGAUGUGUUUUAGAUGAAAGCAUGCGUCCUCAUGGUCAUUGCGGAGACCCUGGAAUGAGAGUAAGUGGCUGCGUGCCUUUCCAUCGAUCUAUUUAUGUACGUGUACGCUGUGGAUGGCCCGUCCACGGACAAGCCUAUUGGCUCGAAUGAUGCAUACACAUCCACUUGUAUGCCGUGUAUGCAUCCUACCUUUACAGCCAUGUAUGAAUGCAGGCAUAUUGUAUGGUGUCGAUUGACUUCCAGAACGUUUGGCGUGAUUGUUUGACGGAAGACCAGGAAUGUCUGCGAUGAAUUAUUGGCAAAGCAAUCUGAAUGACGCGCGUGUGUUCAUGGUUAAUUACUUUUUUGCCAGCAACCAAGGAAAACUCUUGUUAUGCUUUGCAGUAUGCCUACUCAAUGUUUGCUUCUUAUUCACAUCUCAAUAAAGUGUGUGUUUAACAUUUA